GACGAACGCUGGCGGCGUGCUUAAUACAUGCAAGUCGAACGGAAAGGCCCUGCUUUUGUGGGGUGCUCGUGUGGCGAACGGGUGAGUAACACGUGAGUAACCUGUCCUUGUCUUUGGGAUAACUCCAGGAAACUGGGGCUCAUACCGGAUAGGAGCUCCUGCUGCACGGUGGGGGUUGGUAAGUUUCGGCGGUUGGGGAUGGUCUCGCGGCUUAUCAGCUUGUUGGUGGGGUAGUGGCUUACCAAGGCUUCGACGGGUAGCCGGCCUGGGAGGGUGACCGGCCACAAUGGGACUGAGGUACGGCCCAGACGCCUACGGGAGGCAGCAGUGGGGAGUAUUGCAGAAUGGGCGGAAGCCUGAUGCAGCAACGCCGCGUGCGGGAUGACGGCCUUCGGGUUGUAAACCGCUUUCGCCUGUGACGAAGCGUGAGUGACGGUAAUGGGUAAGGAAGCACCGGCUAACUACGUG
rnacentral:rRNA from 1 species